ACGGGGUAGUAAUGUGUCGGAACGUGCCCAGAGGACGGGGAUAGCGGCGGGAAACUGCCGGUAAUACCCGAUGAUCUCGAGAGAGCAAAGGUGUGAUUCCGCCUUUGGAGCGGCCGACAUGGUAUUAGCUAGUUGGCGGGGUAACGGCCCACCAAGGCUUUGAUGCCUAGGGGAUGUGAGAGCAUGAUCCCCACCAUUGGGACUGAGACACUGCCCAGACACCUACGGGUGGCUGCAGUCGAGAAUCUUCGUCAAUGGGCGAAAGCCUGAACGAGCGACGCCGCGUGCGGGAUGAAGGCCCUUGGGUUGUAAACCGCUGUCGAGGGGGAUGAAGGUUUUCAGGUACUCCUGAAAAUUUGACAGAGCCCUGGAGGAAGCACGGGCUAAGUUCGUGCCAGCAGCCGCGGUAAUACGAACUGUGCGAACGUUAUUCGGAAUCACUGGGCUUACAGGGUGCGUAGGCGGCCGAACAAGUCAGGUGUGAAAGCCCUCGGCUCAACCGAGGAACUGCGCUUGAAACUGUUUGGCUCGAGUCAACUAGAGGUGCACGGAACUUCCAGU
rnacentral:rRNA from 1 species